UUGAACGCUGGCGGAAUGCUUUACACAUGCAAGUCGAGCGGCAGCGCGGGGGCAACCCUGGCGGCGAGCGGCGAACGGGUGAGUAACAUAUCGGAACGUACCCUAUCGUGGGGGAUAACACAUCGAAAGAUGUGCUAAUACCGCAUACGACCUGAGGGUGAAAGCAGGGGAUCGCAAGACCUUGCGCGACAGGAGCGGCCGAUAUCGGAUUAGCUAGUUGGUGAGGUAAAGGCUCACCAAGGCGACGAUCCGUAGCUGGUCUGAGAGGACGACCAGCCACACUGGAACUGAGACACGGUCCAGACUCCUACGGGAGGCAGCAGUGGGGAAUUUUGGACAAUGGGGGCAACCCUGAUCCAGCCAUUCCGCGUGAGUGAAGAAGGCCUUCGGGUUGUAAAGCUCUUUCAGACGGAAAGAAAACGCAUCGGUGAAUACCCGGUGUGGAUGACGGUACCGUAAGAAGAAGCACCGGCUAACUACGU
rnacentral:rRNA from 1 species